rnacentral:rRNA from 1 species
GGGUACCGUCAGGGCAAUGGGGUAUUGUUCCCACUGCUUGUUCGUCCCCCUCCACAGUGCUUUACGACCCGAGGGCCUUCAUCACACACGCGGCGUGGCUGGAUCAGGCUUUCGCCCAUUGUCCAAUAUUCCC